AGCUCUCUGGAUGUACUGGAGGUGUUGAAAGUUGGGAUCAGCCCUAGCAAUGGCAACACAACCCUGCUGUCCUGAUGUGUCCCCACCACAGGUUAUGUAUCGUUACAGCAUAAAUUAUGGAAAGGGCUGGAAUUCCUGUUUGAGCAGCUUCAUGAAAAACUGAACUUUGACUGAACACAAACAGCAAAUAAAGUGGAAAACGAGAUAAAAAAUGAUGCAGGCCUCAGUUUCUUUGAAGGUGAAGUGACUGAUCCCAGGUGUCAGCACCUCAGAGACCUGCUCAGCCUUUUAUACGACUCUUGGACAGUUUAUAGACACCAGCUGACACCUGUAAAGUUCACCUGAAGCUGUUCAGAAGUUUAAAACGCCUCAUGGCAAUUUGUCUGGAACUUUUAAUGCACAAAAAGGCAAAAAUUGAUUAGAGUGGCUGAGGAACUCUUCUGUCCUGUCUUUAUAAAGUGGAUGUAAACCUGUCAGCUUUUACAGCUGUCCUCACGCUGCUUCAACUAAACAUAUAUUUGGAGAGGAGAUCUGGCAUUUCUCUGCCAGCCCAGAGUCCUGCUGCUCCUGGUGCCAGGUCCAGAGCAGGGAUGGGGUGUGAGGUAGCUUCUGCAGCAU